CCUACGGGGGGCAGCAGUGGGGAAUAUUGCACAAUGGGGGAAACCCUGAUGCAGCGACGCCGCGUGAGUGAAGAAGUAUUUCGGUACGUAAAGCUCUAUCAGCAGGGAAGAAAAUGACGGUACCUGACUAAGAAGCCCCGGCUAACUACGUGCCAGCAGCCGCGGUAAUACGUAGGGGGCAAGCGUUAUCCGGAUUUACUGGGUGUAAAGGGAGCGUAGACGGCAGCGCAAGUCUGGAGUGAAAUCCCAUGGCUUAACCAUGGAACUGCUUUGGAAACUGUGCAGCUAGAGUGCAGGAGAGGUAAGCGGAAUUCCUAGUGUAGCGGUGAAAUGCGUAGAUAUUAGGAGGAACACCAGUGGCGAAGGCGGCUUACUGGACUGUAACUGACACUGAGGCUCGAAAGCGUGGGGAGCAAACAGGAUUAGAUACCCUUGUAGUC
rnacentral:rRNA from 1 species